rnacentral:lncRNA from 1 species
AAUAAUUUAGCGGUGAUUUAUGAAUUAAGCAGUUUUCUUACAGUCUCUCUCCCCUGUCCCCAAAAUCCCAAAUUAAUAAACCCUAAUUCUUUCUCCUCUCUCUGUCUACCGUUUCUCUCCGCAAGGAUAAAUCUUGCCUUUUGAAUCAGUCAUCUCUUUUGGUGGUUGCUCCCCUUCUAUUCUGAAUUGGUCCUUCAACGUUAACAGAAGUAAGUAAUUUGGCAUCUAAAUUUCAAUAAAAUCUCUUAAUAAAUUUCUCUACAGCGAUGGCUGAUGCAUCUCAUCUACAUGCUGGUUAUCACUAUUUUAAGAGCAAUAAUAAUUUGGGUUUUUCGGACUUGGUUGAUUGGUUUGCUCGAAUGUUAAAAGCUUGAAAUUUUAGGAGAUUUUUUAAACAUUGGGUUCUUGGGUUUCUCAAUGAGUUCCUGUUUUUCUUUGAGUGAGAAAUUGGGAAAAUUUGUAGUUCCUUGAGUGGGCAGGGAGUUGUUUUUCUUGUUUCUAAGUUUAGUUUUGGUUUUACGUUGAAAAUUUUAGUGUUGUAUGAUGUUGAACUAUGGAUUCAAAAUCAAUUAUUUUCAUCAAUAAUACUCUGUUUGGUAGUUCAGAAAGCAGAGGAAUUGAACUGAAUUUGAGAACUAGUUUUCAUUUGUUUCAAGAAGCAUUAUGCUGCAUUUUUUAUUCAAUGAAUUUCAAUGUAUAUAUUUCAGCUACCAAUGUAGUUUAUUUACUAACAAUUUCACUAUGACUUUUUUUUUGCAGGUUUCUCAAACUAUUCUCUUCAUUUUCCCGAAAAGUCUCUUCUUUCCUAGAAAAGUUUUGAUCUUUGAGUAAUAAAAGGUUUGCUUCAUAAUUCCAUCAACUUUUUUUUAUCACGUUUGAAAUAUAAUUCUAAAAAUUAACAAUUUAUGACUUAACUUUUCAUUUUUUACUAGUUUGGACUCUCGAGUCUUUGCCUAAAUAUCAUCUACUUGGAUCGUUUCCUAUCAGUUUUUGAAUUACAUGCAAGUUCAGACGUUAGCCUCAAUUUUGGUUUUUUCUGUUAUUGCAUCAUAACAAUAUCCAUGUAAAUUUCAACUUUUUUAUAAAAAAAUUAUGAUGAAUGCUUAAGUGUAUCCCAAUAAUGCAGUCCACUUCGAUUAGAUUAGAUUAGAUGAGCAAAAAACUUGAAUUGAUUAGUUACUUUUAUUUUUGUUACUAAAACCUAAGAUGUAAGAUUUUGAUACUUUCAACUUCAUAACCAAUUAAUUUUUAUUUCCAAGUUACACUAAUUUAUGAUGGAACAAAUCCAUAAAACUAUACCUGUCUUGAUACUAUUUGAUAAAUUAAUGUCUUAGG